ACCGCCCGUCACACCAUGGAAGUCUGUUGCACCAGAAGUCGGUAGUCUAACCGCAAGGAGGGCGCCGACCACGGUGUGGCCGAUGACUGGGGUG
rnacentral:rRNA from 1 species